UCGCCGGUGUGAAAAACUCCGGUGGUAUGGGAUGGACCCGCGUCUGAUUAGCCAGUUGGCAGGGUAACGGCCUACCAAAGCGACGAUCAGUAGCCGGCCUGAGAGGGUGGACGGCCACAUUGGGACUGAGACACGGCCCAAACUCCUACGGGAGGCAGCAG
rnacentral:rRNA from 1 species